CUCCACCUGUCGCCCCGGAUCAGCCUGCCCCACCGGCUGCAGUUCAUCCCGAUUUGCGGGUGCCAGCUCAUGCACCAUUCGCAAGAUACACCGUCGAGGAUUUGCUUGCCCAGCCCGGACGAGAGGGUUUACACGUUCUGGACCCCGAUAGACCCCCGGGUACUUAUUGGUUUGGGGCUAACAACCGUGUUAGCCGGAGCGUUUCAGAGACGAUGAAGGGAUAUUAUGACGGCCCUUAUCCCAACUGGACCAUGACUCCCGAUCACGUCAAGACGACGUGGUUUAAAUGUUUUGCGGUAAUUAUAUUUACAUAUUAUUAAUAUUUAUAUUGUUAAUUAAAUAAUUAUUUUUUUUUUCUAAUCUUUUAAAAUGUUUGUUUUUUCAGCAAAGGUGGAACUGGUCCGUAGGAAUCACCGAGAGGGUGAAGAGCGAAUUUAUUGCAAAGGCGAAAACUCGUCUUUGCAACACCGUCUCCGAUUGGAAGGACAAGUGGGAGAUUUACGGCUAUGAGGGGAAGCCGAGCGGGGUCACAAAGGAAGCAUGGGAUGGCCUCAUCACCUAUUGGAACGAACCCAGCUCCAUCCGCAAAGCCAACUCCUGCUCCGCUUCCC